rnacentral:rRNA from 1 species
GCACGGGGUGGUAACACCCUGGUGGCGAGUGGCGAACGGGUGAGUAAUAUAUCGGAACAUGUCCGGAAGUGGGGGAUAGCUCGGCGAAAGCCGGAUUAAUACCGCAUAUGCCCUGAGGGGGAAAGGAGGGGAUCCGCAAGGACCUUUCGCUUUCGGAGUGGCCGAUAUCGGAUUAGCUAGUUGGUGAGGUAAAGGCUCACCAAGGCGACGAUCCGUAGCGGGUCUGAGAGGACGACCCGCCACACUGGAACUGAGACACGGUCCAGACUCCUACGGGAGGCAGCAGUGGGGAAUUUUGGACAAUGGGGGAAACCCCGAUCCAGCCAUGCCGCGUGAGUGAAGAAGGCCUUCGGGUUGUAAAGCUCUUUCAGACGGAAAGAAACGGUCACGGCCAAUACCCGUGACUAAUGACGGUACCGUCAGAAGAAGCACCGGCUAACUACGUGCCAGCAGCCGCGGUAAUACGUAGGGUGCGAGCGUUAAUCGGAAUUACUGGGCGUAAAGCGUGCGCAGGCGGUUUUGUAAGACAGACGUGAAAUCCCCGGGCUUAACCUGGGAACUGCGUUUGUGACUGCAAGGCUAGAGUACGGCAGAGGGGGGUAGAAUUCCACGUGUAGCAGUGAAAUGCGUAGAUAUGUGGAGGAAUACCGAUGGCGAAGGCAGCCCCCUGGGUCGAUACUGACGCUCAUGCACGAAAGCGUGGGGAGCAAACAGGAUUAGAUACCCUGGUAGUC